AAUCCCAGAGAUCCUUGUUAAAUUGAGUCUGAGGUGGCGUUAGGUGUAGGGCGUUGAGGUGAAGAUGAGCAGGUAACUGAGUGUUGGCCAAUGAGACGUGAGGAGAGGUCACGUGGGGGGUCUAACAAUGAUGAUGACUGGAACUGCAGCAGCCAUCCUGUGACCAUGAGGUAGGCAAGUUGGUGUACAAAGGUGACAUAUCCCACACCCAAAAGCUAAGAGACUGUAAAACACUGGGUCCUCAAUUACAUCAUUGGGCUGCUGACUCAACCAAACCCAACCUCCCCACACACAGGUCUAGGUUUCUUUUGGGAUGAGAUAAUGAAAUUCCUGCUCUUUUACACUACGCUAAAUUCAGUUUUCUGUUGCCCGCAGUCACACGCAUCCUUACCAAGAUACUACUCCCUAAAUGUUGAGCGAGCAAACGAAUGAAUGAACUGUGCUACAGCCAGAGUGCAAGGAGGCAGCAAUGGCACAGAAAACUGCUUGUCAGCAGAGGCCAGACCACACAGGGCCUCAAACGCCAGGCUGAGGCGCUAGGACUCUCUCUUGGGGAUGAUGGGAAGCCAGGCAGGGCUAUGAGCAAGGGACAGCCAGCAGCGAUGCUGGCCCCCCCAGAGCCAUGUGGGGGAAGUGGAGACCAGGGAGGAGGUGGGGAGAGGGUCUACAUGGAAGAGCACAAGACCUGAGACAGGGCUGUGGGAACAGAGAGGAAGGGACAGGGCAGAGAGAGAGGGCAGGAAGAUGGGGGCCAGUGGGCUGUGAGAGGGAAGAGAAGGGAGGGGAGGGAUGGCACCUGAGGCUUGGCCCAGUGACCGGGUUGGCAGUGGGGCCAUUUGAAAAUGAAAACCAGUAAGGAGGAAAGCAACUUUGCGGGAAGAUGCUGAGCUUCGUGUGGGGACAAGGAGAGUGAGGGUGUCUAGUGUAGGGGAAUAAUGGCCUCAGUGGGGUUGGUAAGGUCCCAGAGGUUCAUGGGAAGUGUAGUUCUGGGUCCAAAGUAUUGGCCAAGGAACUGCAGAGCCUCAUGGGAAAUGUAGUUUAAGGUCCAAAGGGCCAGUGCCCCAGAAUCUGGUGACUAUGAGUCUGGGGAGGCUCUCACUUUAGAAUGCCAGUGACUGGCUUAAGGCCACACUGCGAGCCAGGGCCACCACACAAUGCCUGGAUGAAGGGACUCCGCCCUCUCCCUCCCCAGAUGGCUCAGUACCUGCCUCCCUGUGCGUGCUGGGGUUGCCCACGGCGGGGGAGCACAGGGGCUCCACCUCUGGCUGCAUCCUGGGAAGGUUGCCAGGCUGGCCAGAGCCAAGGUUGAAGCUGCCAGGGGCCACCUUGUCACCAGGCAGAGAGAGAACUUCCCCGAGAGCAAAGACAACAAUGAAGGAAGCAGAGCCCAAAGACCCUGCUUUCCAGCAGAUCGGCUGAUCCACCCAGAGCAAUGGCCUCUACUGAGGAACUGACUCAACUGAUCUUGCCACCUCUACCUGGUCAACAUGAAGGAGACGGCGCCCUGUGAUAUUAAAUUUUUUCUCCGCUGUAA